rnacentral:rRNA from 1 species
GUGGGGAAUAUUGGGCAAUGGGCGCAAGUCUGACCCAGCAACGCCGCGUGAGGGAAGAAGGUUUUCGGAUUGUAAACCUCUGUCGCAGAUGACGAAGGAAGUGACGGUAAUCUGUGAGGAAGCCCCGGCUAACUACGUGCCAGCAGCCGCGGUAAUACGUAGGGGGCGAGCGUUGUCCGGAAUUACUGGGCGUAAAGGGAGCGUAGGCGGUCGAUUAAGUUGGAUGUGAAAUACCCGGGCUUAACUUGGGGGGUGCAUCCAAUACUGGUUGACUAGAGUACAGGAGAGGAAAGCGGAAUUCCUAGUGUAGCGGUGAAAUGCAUAGAUAUUAGGAGGAACAUCGGUGGCGAAGGCGGCUUUCUGGACUGACACUGACGCUGAGGCUCGAAAGCGUGGGGAGCAAACAGGAUUAGAAACCCUUGUAGUCC